AAACACGCUGGCGGCGUGCCUAACACAUGCAAGUCGAACGAGAAAGUGGAGCAAUCCAUGAGUAAAGUGGCGACCGGGUGAGUAACACGUGACUAACCUGCCCUAGAGUGGGGGAUAACCUCGGGAAACCGGGGCUAAUACCGCAUAACAUCGCGAGGGGAAGAUCCUUGCGAUCAAAGGAGCAAUCCGCUCCAGGAGGGGGUCGCGGCUGAUUAGCUAGUUGGUGAGGUAACGGCUCACCAAGGCGAAGAUCAGUAGCCGGCCUGAGAGGGCGCACGGCCACACUGGAACUGAAACACGGUCCAGACUCCUACGGGAGGCAGCAGUGGGGAAUUUUGCGCAAUGGGGGAAACCCUGACGCAGCAACGCCGCGUGGAGGAUGAAGUCCCUUGGGAUGUAAACUCCUUUCGAUCGGGACGAUUAUGACGGUACCGGAAGAAGAAGCACCGGCUAACUCUGUGCCAGCAGCCGCGGUAAUAC
rnacentral:rRNA from 1 species